GCUGGGCAUGGUGGUGCACGCCUGUAAUCCCAGCAGCUCAGGAAGCAGAGGCAGGAGGAUCAUGAGUUCAAAGCCAGGCUCAGCUAAAGCAAGGCACUAAGCAACUCAUUGAGACCCUGUCUCGA
rnacentral:sRNA from 1 species